AUUGAACGCUGGCGGCAUGCCUUACACAUGCAAGUCGAACGGUAACAGGUCUUCGGAUGCUGACGAGUGGCGAACGGGUGAGUAAUACAUCGGAACGUGCCUAGUAGUGGGGGAUAACUACUCGAAAGAGUGGCUAAUACCGCAUUAGAUCAACGGAUGAAAGCAGGGGAUCGCAAGACCUUGUGCUCAUACAGCGGCCGAUGGCAGAUUAGGGAGUUGGUGGGAUAAAAGCUUACCAAGCCGACGAUCUGUAGCUGGUUUGAGAGGACGAUCAGCCACACUGGGACUGAGACACGGCCCAGACUCCUACGGGAGGCAGCAGUGGGGAAUUUUGGACAAUGGGCGAAAGCCUGAUCCAGCAAUGCCGCGUGCAGGACGAAGGCCUUCGGGUUGUAAACUGCUUUUGUACGGAACGAAAAGCCCCGGGUUAAUACCCUGGGGUCAUGACGGUACCGUAAGAAUAAGCACCGGCUAACUACGUGCCAGCCGCCGCGGUAA
rnacentral:rRNA from 1 species